CAUCCUGUGUCAUCUGCCUGAAAAAUGAGAAGCCGAUUACCUAUAUAGGGAGCUGGCGAGACAGACACAUAGUAUCAUUGAACACUACUGUAAACUCCUAGAGGAUGAAGGGGCUCCGCAGUUGCGCUGUGCUCUGUGUAUUGGGGGCAUGUCUGUCAAAGAACAGAUGGAGGUGGUAAAAAACGGGGUGCACAUGAUGGUGGCCACUCCAGGCAGACUGAUGGACCUGCUGAAACCA